CGCCCCCGCUCCAGUCCCCAGAUCUCGACCCGCCUCCGCUUUCGCCCCCCAUCCGGACCCGGACCCCAGCUCCGGCGGGACCCGAUCCCGCCCUCCUGCCUCCUGCGCGGAGCCCGCUGCUCUGCUGGCUUGGAACCCCGAACCUGGAAGAGCUUCCUACCUCGGCCUCAGCGGGGCCUGUAGACCUGCACUGAAGCGUUAGUCACCGGACGCCGCGUGCUUUAGUUCUGUAAAACCAGGGAAAACAUUUUGGGGAAACCAAUCCUCUUUUUUUUUUUAAUUUUGAGAAGGUAUGCACUUUACAUAUUCAUGUGAUGGGAAGGGUGGAAACAUUUUUCCUUUUUAUUUUUUUGCUUACUUUGAAGUUGCUGUUGCCGUGCUCUGAUCUCCCAGGACCCUGGAGAAGGCUGCACACGUGCUGGCUCGGGGCACCGGGAAAACGAGGACACCCGGCAUCUGCACCGCGCGCCCCGCCUGGGUGAACACCGUGCCUGGUACUGGUCUGACCCAAGAGUGGAGAGCUCUGCUUUUGAAGAUUAAAAGCUCUUCAAGGACCCCGCACACACCACCACUACCUUGGCCGAAUGCUUUCCUGGUAACUGCUGCUUCUCAGAACUAUACUCAAGUGAUGACUUCUCGGGCAGGGACCAGAGCCCACUUACGUGUUCCUGCUGAGUGCCGCCUGUGACCGCUCUUCUGCAACUUCCCUCAGACACAGGCUGGGUAAACCAGGAGAAGACAGCAGUGGAUACCCGCAAAAGAAGUUAAUCUCCAACAUGUACAAGUCAGGCCCCUCAGCCUCCCCAGCCCCACUGGCGGCCUGGGUUCCUUCCCAGAGCUUGAUCUUCCUUUGUCCUCCAUCCCCAGGGUCCAGUUCCACGACAGUGGCCUCCUUGGCUCCGCACUGCUGGGACCCCUGAAGGCUGCCCAUACCUCUGUCUCGUGACACAACCCUGGUCCUUGCCUGGCUUCUUCCCUGCUGGCUCCCUGCAGGCCUUGUGACAACAGAGGCCCGUGGUUCCCAGCUCUGCCUCCAGGUAGACCUGGUCUGGCCAGCAUCUGGGCCCAGUGCCCCUGGAGUUCAGCCGGGACCGAUGUUUAUCCUUUAAAAGGAUUGAUUGAAAAUACAGCUACUGUAUCAAAUCAUCCACUUAGUUCAUACCGCAGAGCAUUCUCAAGGCUCGGGCCAUUUCCUGAUUGCAGGCUGUACACAGUUGUGGAUUCAGCGCAACUACAUCCACUAACGUCUUGCCCCUCCUGUUUCAAAGUCCGACAUGUCCUGGUUCGCACCACACUGUGUCUCCUCAAGACUGGAUUUCAUUUUGGACAGCCAGGCCCGUCUACCGCUUCUGGUCUCAGACCUGGCCUGGUCAACUGCUUUUGGUCAUUCCUGGUGGUUACUUUGUCUGUCACUACCAGCCUUUUCCUGGACACAGAGUCAACAGCAAGACUAGACUUUUGUUUAAAAGUAGUAACAAAGCCUAAAUACUUGGAAAACUGAAGAAUCAAGGAGAACGAAAGAGGAGUAGUAAACGGAUGAAACUUCACCUCCGCCCCAUCUCCCCAAAUGACCACUUUACCACCACACUUACACACUGGUGCAUUUCAUUCCUGCAUUUGCAUCCACGUGUAUAAAAUACAUAUGAAAUCAUACUACUGUUUUUCUGCCUUCCUUCUUUUGUGUUUUGUUUUUUGGUUUUUUUUUUGGUUUUUUGAGACAGGGUCUCACUAUGUAGUUGAGACUGACCCGGAACUCACUACAUAGCCCAAGCUAAUCUCGAACCCACAGUGAUCCUCCUGCCUCAGCGGGAUUACAGGUGUGAGUCACCACGCCCGG
ensembl:lincRNA